rnacentral:lncRNA from 1 species
ACUCUUUUCCACACAGCGCCGGAAUGUAUGUGUCGUUCCUCUGCAUUUUGUGUCCUUGGAGCCGUAUCUUCGCGGUACCUCCUAGAGCUUCACCGGCAGAGCACCGUGUCAAACUUCUGAAUUUUUGCCAGUCGGAUGGAGGAGAAAUGGCACCUCAGCCUGGCCUCCCUCAGCAUCUCUCUUAUAUGAGCAAAGUUAAUGCCUUCUCAUGUAUCCAAGGACCAUUUUUGCAACCUUUUGGGGAAACUGUUUUUCUUGCCCUUUGCUCAUUUUUCUCCAUGAUUUUUGCGCUUUUGUUUCUCGACUUUUAAAAAGUUCCUUGUAUAUGAAAGCCAUUCACCUUUUAUCAGUGAAAGCACGGGCUCAUCAAGAAGCUCUGGUUUUCUCCUGCCCGGACCCUCCCACGGAGCCUGCGGCCAGGAGGAAGCCAGCAGGAAGCAUGUUGGCACAGCCUCGGUGGAAGCGAAAGACCACACGCUGGAAUCCCAAAGCUUCAACUAUUCAUCAGCUGCCCAGUGCGCCAGUGGCGGUUCGGAGUGGCUGUUAACCUGGCGUUGACGCUAAACCUGGAGCAACAAGGACCGAAAUUCAGCCCAAACGACUGUUGGCACCUCCCCCUCUGAGGUCUCGUGGAAAUUGGAUGAUCAAUUUUUAAGUGGCUUUAAUGAAAUAUUAGUUCCUUCUCCUUUGAAAUCGAUUUCACCAAAGCCAAAGCUUUAGAUCAGGUGAAAUCGCUCUUGGAAUAUGCCAGAGACAGGAUCCACCAACAGGCAGGUCUUCUCCGCCACUGACUGCCGGGAAGUGUCAAAGAACUGGGAGCCAGAGAUGGUUCUAUGGUCUCGGGAGGGAGCAGGGCCCAUGCUUUCCUCACCAGUCCCUGACUCAGGGGGUGGCAGUGAGUGCCAGGGAGUGACUGGCAGCGUCCCGACAGAGUGAAAGAAUGAGCGAAUGAAUACGCACGAAGCCAGCCUGUUAGGCUCCAUCACGGAAAUGCUUGCUUUGCCUCCAGGGAGUCAGCUGAAG